CGUCUGUGUGAGGGUCGGCUAGUGUCAAAACAAUCGCGUCGCUUGCUCUUGCGACGCGCUCUGGACCUUCGCGGCCGUAAAAUCCGGCGCUCACCGAAUCGCUCGCUCGGCGGUUUGCGUGUUGCGCCCGGUGGCCCCGUGGUCUUAAGCACAAGCCGCGCCGUUGUCCGUGUUCGUCUCGGGACGUCCGCGACGCCGCCUUGCUCUCGGCGGCGGCCAAAUUUCCUCUCCGUCACCGCUAUGCGGGACCCGGCUCGCUCUCGCUAACGGGCCCGCUUAUAACCAGCUUCAGGGUGACGGGCGGAGGAGAGAAGCUUACGCUGACGCUCGAUCGACGAGUCGGCGCCCGUACGAAAAAAAUUGGAAAAAAAAUAACCGUGCGUUGCGCGUUAUUUUUUUUUUUCCUUUCUUUCCGACCUCAGAUCGGACGAGAUUACCCCCUGAAUUUAAGCAUAGAAA
rnacentral:misc_RNA from 1 species